rnacentral:rRNA from 1 species
UACAGAGGUCCCAAGCGUUGUUCGGAUUCAUUUGGCGUAAAGGGUGCGUAGGCGGCGCGGUAAGUCGGGUGUGAAAUCUCGGAGCUUAACUCCGAAACUGCAUUCGAUACUGCCGUGCUUGAGGACUGGAGAGGAGACUGGAAUUUACGGUGUAGCGGUGAAAUGCGUAGAUAUCGUAAGGAAGACCAGUGGCGAAGGCGGGUCUCUGGACAGUUCCUGACGCUGAGGCACGAAGGCCAGGGGAGCAAACAGG